rnacentral:rRNA from 1 species
CAAUAGCGUAUAUUAAAGUUGUUGCAGUUAGAGCGCUCGUAGUCGGAUUUCGGGGCGGGCCGACCGGUCUGCCGAUGGGUACGCACUGGUCGGCGCGUCCUUCCUUCCGGAGACCGUGCCUACUCUUAACUGAGCGGGGGCGGGAGACGGAUCGUUUACUUUGAAAAAAUCAGAGUGUUUCAAGCAGGCAGCUCGCUCUUGCAUGGAUUAGCAUGGGAUAAUGAAAUAGGACUUUGGUGCUAUUUUGUUGGUUUCGAACACCGAAGUAAUGAUUAAAAGGGACAGUCAGGGGCACUCGUAUUCCGCAGAGAGAGGUGAAAUUCUCAGACCCGCGGAAGACGAACCACUGCGAAAGCAUUUGCCAGGGAUGUUUUCACUGA